rnacentral:rRNA from 1 species
CUACGGGUUGCUGCAGUGGGGAAUAUUGCACAAUGGGCGCAAGCCUGAUGCAGCCAUGCCGCGUGUGUGAAGAAGGCCUUCGGGUUGUAAAGCACUUUCAGUUGUGAGGAAGGUGGUGUCGUUAAUAGCGGCAUCAUUUGACGUUAGCAACAGAAGAAGCACCGGCUAACUCCGUGCCAGCAGCCGCGGUAAUACGGAGGGUGCGAGCGUUAAUCGGAAUUACUGGGCGUAAAGCGCAUGCAGGUGGUUUGUUAAGUCAGAUGUGAAAGCCCGGGGCUCAACCUCGGAACUGCAUUUGAAACUGGCAGACUAGAGUACUGUAGAGGGGGGUAGAAUUUCAGGUGUAGCGGUGAAAUGCGUAGAGAUCUGAAGGAAUACCGGUGGCGAAGGCGGCCCCCUGGACAGAUACUGACACUCAGAUGCGAAAGCGUGGGGAGCAAACAGGAUUAGAUACCCGUGUAGUC